AUGCUCACUUCGGCAGCACAUAUACUAAAACUGGAAGGAUAUACAGAAAAUUAGCACAGCCCCCGUGCAAGGAUGACAGGUAAAUAUGUGAAGUAUUCCAUAUUUUU